rnacentral:rRNA from 1 species
UCCGUAGGCGGUGCGGCAAGUCGGAAGUGAAAUCUCAGGGCUUAACCCUGAGGCUGCUUCCGAAACUGCCGUGCUCGAGUGCGAGAGAGGCGAGUGGAGUUGCAGGUGUAGCGGUGAAAUGCGUAGAUAUCUGCAGGAACAUCCGAGGCGAAAGCGGCUCGCUGGAUCGCAACUGACGCUGAGGGACGAAAGCUAGGGGAGCAAACAGGAUUAGAUACCCUGGUAGUCCUAGCCCUAAACGAUCAGGACUGGGCGUGGGCCUCGUACGGGGCUCGUGCCGCAGCUAACGCGUUAAGUCCUGCGCCUGGGGAGUACGGUCGCAAGGCUGAA